AGGAAUCUGCCUGGUAGUGGGGGACAACGUUUCGAAAGGAACGCUAAUACCGCAUACGUCCUACGGGAGAAAGCAGGGGACCUUCGGGCCUUGCGCUAUCAGAUGAGCCUAGGUCGGAUUAGCUAGUUGGUGAGGUAAAGGCUCACCAAGGCGACGAUCCGUAACUGGUCUGAGAGGAUGAUCAGUCACACUGGAACUGAGACACGGUCCAGACUCCUACGGGAGGCAGCAGUGGGGAAUAUUGGACAAUGGGCGAAAGCCUGAUCCAGCCAUGCCGCGUGUGUGAAGAAGGUCUUCGGAUUGUAAAGCACUUUAAGUUGGGAGGAAGGGCAGUAAGUUAAUACCUUGCUGUUUUGACGUUACUGUUAGAAUAAGCACCGGCUAACUCUGUGCCAGCAGCCGCGGUAAUACAGAGGGUGCAAGCGUUAAUCGGAAUUACUGGGCGUAAAGCGCGCGUAGGUGGUUCGUUAAGUUGGAUGUGAAAUCCCCGGGCUCAACCUGGGAACUGCAUCCAAAACUGGCGAGCUAGAGUAGGGCAGAGGGUGGUGGAAUUUCCUGUGUA
rnacentral:rRNA from 1 species